UACGGGGGGGGUAAGCGUUGUUCGGAAUUACUGGGCGUAAAGGGUUUGUAGGUGGCUUGCUAAGUCAGACGUGAAAUCCCUCAGCUUAACUGGGGAACUGCGUCUGAUACUGGCGAGCUUGAGUGCAGGAGAGGAACGCGGAAUUCCAGGUGUAGCGGUGAAAUGCGUAGAUAUCUGGAGGAACACCGGUGGCGAAGGCGGCGUUCUGGACUGCAACUGACACUGAAAAACGAAAGCCAGGGGAGCAAACGGG
rnacentral:rRNA from 1 species